rnacentral:rRNA from 1 species
AUGAACGCUGGCGGCGUGCCUAAUACAUGCAAGUUGAGCGAACGGACGAGAAGCUUGCUUCUCUGAUGUUAGCGGCGGACGGGUGAGUAACACGUGGAUAACCUACCUAUAAGACUGGGAUAACUUCGGGAAACCGGAGCUAAUACCGGAUAAUAUUUUGAACCCCAUGGUUCAAAAGUUAAAGACGGUCUUGUUGUCACUUAUAGAUGGAUCCGCGCUGCAUUAGCUAGUUGGUAAGGUAACGGCUUACCAAGGCAACGAUGCAUAGCCGACCUGAGAGGGUGAUCGGCCACACUGGAACUGAGACACGGUCCAGACUCCUACGGGAGGCAGCAGUAGGGAAUCUUCCGCAAUGGACGAAAGCCUGACGGAGCAACGCCGCGUGAGUGAUGAAGGUCUUCGGAUCGUAAAACUCUGUUAUUAGGAAAGAACAUAUGUGUAAGUAACUGUGCACAUCUUGACGGUACCUAAUCAGAAAGCCACGGCUAACUACGUG